GGACCAUCAUGUUAGUCGUGCUUCGGUACGUACUGGCAUUGUUGGUUUCUCCCUUCUGACGAACCAUGAUGUCAUUUAUUUGGUGUUGUGGGGAAUCAGGACUGUUACUUUGAAAAAUUAGAGUGUUUAAAGCAGGCUCACGCUUGAAUACAUUAGCAUGGAAUAAUGAAAUAGGACGUUUGAUUCUAUUUUGUUGGUUUCUAGGAUCGACGUAAUGAUUAAUAGGGAUAGUUGGGCUGA
rnacentral:rRNA from 1 species